rnacentral:rRNA from 1 species
GUGUCAGCAGCCGCGGUAAUACGUAGGGGGCUAGCGUUAUCCGGAUUCAUUGGGCGUAAAGCGCGCGUAGGCGGCCCGUUAAGUCAGAUGUGAAAACCGUGGGCUCAACCCGCGGCCUGCAUCUGAAACUGGCGGGCUUGAGUCUGGUAGAGGAAAGUGGAAUUCCCAGUGUAGCGGUGAAAUGCGCAGAUAUUGGGAGGAACACCAGUGGCGAAGGCGGCUUUCUGGGCCACGACUGACGCUGAGGCGCGAAAGCUAGGGGAGCGAACAGGAUUAGAUACCCUGGUAGUCCUAGCCGUAAACGAUGGGCACUAGGUGUGGGGGGUCACCAACUCCCUCCGUGCCGCAGCUAACGCAUUAAGUGCCCCGCCUGGGGAGUACGGCCGCAAGGCUAAA